rnacentral:rRNA from 1 species
CAAGUCGAACGAAGCACUUUAUUUGAUUUCCUUCGGGAUUGAUUAUUUUGUGACUGAGUGGCGGACGGGUGAGUAACGCGUGGGUAACCUGCCUUGUACAGGGGGAUAACAGUUGGAAACGGCUGCUAAUACCGCAUAAGCGCACAGCAUCGCAUGAUGCAGUGUGAAAAACUCCGGUGGUAUAAGAUGGACCCGCGUUGGAUUAGCUAGUUGGUGAGGUAACGGCCCACCAAGGCGACGAUCCAUAGCCGACCUGAGAGGGUGACCGGCCACAUUGGGACUGAGACACGGCCCAAACUCCUACGGGAGGCAGCAGUGGGGAAUAUUGCACAAUGGGCGAAAGCCUGAUGCAGCGACGCCGCGUGAGCGAAGAAGUAUUUCGGUAUGUAAAGCUCUAUCAGCAGGGAAGAUAAUGACGGUACCUGACUAAGAAGCACCGGCUAAAUACGUGCCAGCAGCCGCGGUAAUACGUAUGGUGCAAGCGUUAUCCGGAUUUACUGGGUGUAAAGGGAGCGCAGGCGGUGCGGCAAGUCUGAUGUGAAAGCCCGGGGCUCAACCCCGGUACUGCAUUGGAAACUGUCGUACUAGAGUGUCGGAGGGGUAAGCGGAAUUCCUAGUGUAGCGGUGAAAUGCGUAGAUAUUA